rnacentral:rRNA from 1 species
UACGAAGGGGGCUAGCGUUGCUCGGAAUGACUGGGCGUAAAGGGCGUGUAGGCGGCUUGAAUAGUCGGGUGUGAAAUUCCUGGGCUCAACCUGGGGGCUGCAUCCGAGACGUUUGGGCUGGAGUGGGGAAGAGGGUCGUGGAAUUCCCAGUGUAGAGGUGAAAUUCGUAGAUAUUGGGAAGAACACCGGUGGCGAAGGCGGCGACCUGGUCCUUGACUGACGCUGAGGCGCGAAAGCGUGGGGAGCAAACAGG